rnacentral:rRNA from 1 species
GACGAACGCUGGCGGCGUGCUUAACACAUGCAAGUCGAACGAGGCCCCUUCUUCAGAAGGGUGUCCUAGUGGCGAACGGGUGAGUAACACGUGGGCAACCUGCCCCCGGCUCUGGGAUAACCCCAAGAAAUUGGGGCUAAUACCGGAUAUGACCGCUGACCGCAUGGUCUGGUGGUGGAAAGAUUUAUCGGCUGGGGAUGGGCCCGCGGCCUAUCAGCUUGUUGGUGGGGUAGUGGCCUACCAAGGCGACGACGGGUAGCCGGCCUGAGAGGGUGACCGGCCAAGCUGGGACUGAGACACGGCCCAGACUCCUACGGGAGGCAGCAGUGGGGAAUAUUGCUCAAUGGGCGGAAGCCUGACGCAGCGACGCCGCGUGAGGGAUGACGGCCUUCGGGUUGUAAACCUCUUUCAGCAGGGACGAAGCGCAAGUGACGGUACCUGCAGAAGAAGCACCGGCCAACUACGUGCCAGCAGCCGCCGUAACAC